UCUGGAGGAAAAAGUGGUAGGAAACGCUCACCAGCGCUUGACUGUGUGAAGCAAUCACUUGGGAUUGGAGUCUUAUAAGGUAUUUUGGAAUGUGAGAGGCAUAGGACAAGAUCACAAGAAAAGAUACGUUAGAGAAAUGAUUAUAGAUCAGAAGCUGGACCUUAUUGGACUCUCUGAGACCAUAAAGCAAGAUUUCACAAAAAAUGAAUUGCAUAAUUUGUGUGGAGGGAGGAAUUUUCAAUGGAGUUGGAAUCCACCCAGAGGAAUGUCAGGGGGGAUUCUGAUGGGGGUUAAUAAAGAUGUGUUUAAUGUAGAAAACAUUGAAAAAGGACAAUAUUUCUUGAAAAUGUUAAUAUUUGAUAAAAAUAUCAAAAUGCACUGGAAUUUGGUCACUGUAUAUGGGGAUGCACAGAAGGAGGGAAAAGCGAGUUUCCUUGCUGAAUUGGCAAGAUUAUAUCAUGAUAAUCCUCUGCCUUGCUUGGUUGGGGGAGAUUUCAACAUCAUUAGAAGUGAAAAGAAGAAGAACAAACCUAUGCUUAAUGAACAAUGGUCCUUCAUGUUCAAUGCCAUUAUUGAACAAGCAGGGCUUAGGGAAUUACCCCUGAAUGGGAGAAAAUACACUUGGGCUAAUAAUCAGGAGGAUCCUACUUUUGAAAAGCUAGAUAGAGUGCUGAUGAGCCCAGCUUGGGAGGAAAAAUACCCACUCACCAUACUGCAAGCUUUUGCUAGAGAGUUAUUUCCAGAUUUAGCUAGAAGUGCAAUAUUCAUUAUUUCCAGAUUCAGUAUCCCCAAGCCCCCCAUUUCUUUGGGCAAACAACAAUCUUUCCAAUUCACUAAGUGGUAUUUUAGGAACAGUACUAUAGUACCAUGAUAAAUGCACCAUCCAGAUCGGUGCUUAUUUGACGGAAGUAAAAAAUCUGUGCAUGGUAGAUAGGAUUCAUACUCUGGUGGCUUGGUUAACCCUUCAGCCAACUGGCCAAUUAUUGGUUGCUGGUUGCUGGUUGGAUUGAAGAAGUCCAGCUAUUUGAGUGAUUGAUCCAAAAAAGCACCUCACUUGGAAACCAUCCCGAAAUUAUUGGGAGAGCCUAAAAAGCACUUAUAAGGUUUUCUUAGGGAAGGCUGUUGGAGAUGCCCUAAAUAAUAGCUUUGUGUUUUCAUGUUAAGCUGGUAAUUGGCUGGUUGGUUGAACCACACCUCAUGUCACCGCGCGGUACUCUGCAAUUUGUCUGGUUGAAUUGUAUUGUAUCACUCUUAAAACUUGGUUCUUUUUUAUCACAGGAAACAGCUGGAAUCACAUGGGGGCAACAAUGUAGGAAAGCCAGACAUGAUUGGAUGCACUAGCACCGAGGAGGAAACCCCAGUGAUGAAAUAUAUGGCUACUCGAGUGAUGAAUUCUGUAGAAGAACGCCAUCCAGAGUGAAUUGCACUGAUUUGAUAACAUAACCUCGCGUUGUGUUUGCCCGGAAAGUAAAAAAAAGUCACGAUCAUGCAGGUACAUACUAGCUUCAUCUGUUUCUAAGAACCAUUCUUCUAUAGGUGCCCCUGACUCAAAUUCCCGAUACAUCUCAUCCCUUGUGACUAUCCAUGCUAUUCACUCUGUUCAUCAUUGUUGCUCUCUUUCCACACUUCGACAGUCUCCUCUAGCAACUAAAUUUGAUCCUCCUACAUAGGGGAAGAAGCUAGUUAUUUUAUAGGAUGCCAGCUAGUGAUCAAUGUUACGUGUGGCCUUGAUAUCAUUAUUGCUUCACCAAACAUCACAUGCCAAUUGUUGUGGUCUUUUAUUUCCACAAUUAAUGGUUUAGCGGUUGGCAUUUGUAGCACUCGUAGCAUAUCUAAACAUGAGCAGACAUAAAAUGGAAUGCUGGUAAUAAACCACAUCUUUAUAUACGUCUUAUUAACAAUUUUUUAUAAAUCCGGUUUAGUAAAUCCAAG
rnacentral:lncRNA from 1 species